GGAGCACACCCGAGCCUGAGACAACAGCUCUGCUAAGUGCCCUUGAGAGGGCACGGUGGGGUCAGCACCAAAGUCAGACCACUAAAGAGAAAAAGAGAGAAAGACAGGAUUGCAGAGGAGAAAUGAGAAUGGCAGAAAAAAUAAUUUUUUAAGCCAAAAGGAAUCAGAGAAGAGCAGAAGUGCCUCUAGGAUAAAGCGUAGCAGGCAGUUAGGGAAAAAGGGCUGUUAACUACCUUGAAGCUCUGACUACAUUAGAAAGCCUCGCAAGACAGUCGUUGCUUGCACGGGCAGGGGUGGUUGGCAAUAAGGAUGGGUGGGAGAGAAAAAAAAACAGAAUUUGAGGAGGAGAGCAUUUAAACCAUCAGACUGUGUGUUCUGUGACAUCAAAGACUGGCAACAUUCUAAAGGAAAAGCAGCUGUGAAGUCAUAAUUAUGUUCACUUCCCACUGGCAACUGGCAAGCCCUUUAUUUUUGUGCAUUCGGAACUCACCAAGAAUAAAUAAAGUCCAUUCCCUCCUUGAGGGGCUAUUCUGCCAUUCCAUCUAGGAUUUAAAAGUUUGCCAAUUCCUAAAACAUCUAUUGUUAUCAAUAGUCUUGUGUCUUUCACAAAGCGGACUUUACAAAAUAAG
rnacentral:lncRNA from 1 species